GCGGGGAUAGCUCAGUUUGGGAGAGCGCCAGACUGAAGAAAAUAUACUUCGGUUGUUAAGGAGGUAUUCUACUUCGAUACCUUUGGGAUCUGGAGGCCGGGUGUUCGAUCCACCCUCACCGCA